CCUACGGGUGGCAGCAGUGGGGGAUAUUGCACAAUGGGGGGAACCCUGAUGCAGCGACGCCGCGUGGGUGAAGAAGCGCCUCGGCGCGUAAAGCUCUGUCAGCAGGGAAGAAAUUGACGGUACCUGUAGAAGAAGCCCCGGCUAACUCCGUGCCAGCAGCCGCGGUAAUACGUGGGGGGCAAGCGUUAUCCGGAUUUACUGGGUGUAAGGGGGGCGCAGACGGCGAGGCAAGCCAGGAGUGAAAGCCCGGGGCCCAACCCCGGGACUGCCCUUGGAACUGCGUGGCUGGAGUGCAGGAGGGGCAGGCGGAAUUCCUGGUGUAGCGGUGAAAUGCGUAGAUAUCAGGAGGAACACCGGUGGCGAAGGCGGCCUGCUGGACUGCAACUGACGUUGAGGCCCGAAAGCGUGGGGAGCAAACAGGAUUAGAUACCCCUGUAGUC
rnacentral:rRNA from 1 species